AUAGCCUCUGGCUAUAGGAAAUUGUUAGUGGCAGACGGGUGAGUAAUGCGUAGGAAUCUACCUAGUAGUACGGAAUAGCCAUUAGAAAUGGUGGGUAAUACUGUAUAAUCCCCGAGGGGGAAAGAUUUAUCGCUAUUAGAUGAGCCUACGUUAGAUUAGCUAGUUGGUGAGGUAAUGGCUUACCAAGGCUAUGAUCUAUAGCUGGUCUGAGAGGACGAUCAGCCACACUGGAACUGAGAUACGGUCCAGACUCCUACGGGAGGCAGCAGUGRGRAUAUUGGACAAUGGGCGAAAGCCUGAUCCAGCUAUGCCGCGUGA
rnacentral:rRNA from 1 species